rnacentral:rRNA from 1 species
UACGUAGGGUGCAAGCGUUAAUCGGAAUUACUGGGCGUAAAGCGUGCGCAGGCGGUGAUGUAAGACAGUUGUGAAAUCCCCGGGCUCAACCUGGGAAUUGCGAUGGAGACUGCAAGGCUAGAAUCUGGCAGAGGGGGGUAGAAUUCCACGUGUAGCAGUGAAAUGCGUAGAGAUGUGGAGGAACACCGAUGGCGAAGGCAGCCCCCCUGGGUCAAGAUUGACGCUCAUGCACGAAAGCGUGGGGAGCAAA